rnacentral:rRNA from 1 species
AACAGGGAUUGCCUUAGUAACGGCGAGUGAAGCGGCAAAAGCUCAAAUUUGAAAUCUGGCACCUUCGGUGUCCGAGUUGUAAUUUGAAGAAGGUAACUUUGGGAUUGGCUCUUGUCUAAGUUCCUUGGAACAGGACGUCACAGAGGGUGAGAAUCCCGUGCGAUGAGAUGACCAAUCCUAUGUAAAGUGCUUUCGAAGAGUCGAGUUGUUUGGGAAUGCAGCUCUAAGUGGGUGGUAAAUUCCAUCUAAAGCUAAAUAUUGGCGAGAGACCGAUAGCGAACAAGUACAGUGAUGGAAAGAUGAAAAGAACUUUGAAAAGAGAGUGAAAAAGUACGUGAAAUUGUUGAAAGGGAAGGGCUUGAGAUCAGACUUGGUAUUUUGCAUUCCUUACCUUCGUGGUGGGGUUCCUUGCAGUUUACUGGGCCAGCAUCGGUUUGGAUGGUGGGAUAAUGACAUUGGAAUGUGGCUCUGCUUCGGUAGAGUGUUAUAGCCAGUGUUGAUACCGCCUGUCUAGACCGAGGACUGCGUCUUUGACUAGGAUGCUGGCAUAAUGAUCUUA